GUUGAAGCCUAUAAUCCCAGCACUUUGGGAGGCAGUGGUUGGAGGAUUUCUUGAGCCCAGGAGCCCUGGUGCCUGAUAUCCAGCUCCGGCAGCCUAGAAAAUCAGUUAGGCUUUUCAGUCACAGCACCCUCUGUGACAAACGUGUGGAGCACCGCACGACUUCUUCAACCAGCUGGUUUUUCUGGCAUUCGAAUAAAAGUAAAAAUAGAAAACAAAGAGGGAGAAGAAAAGUGACAAGCUGAAACCUGCGAAGAGAAAGAGGACAAGGAACCUGUAUGUACCCAGUGGUGUGGAUAAAUCGUUAUGUAUCUGCCUACGCAUUGUCAGAAAUACAGCAGCCUAAGUAGCCAUUCAAGGAAUUUAGAGUAAAGUACCAUGGUCAGAAUUCAAGAUAUAGCCACUACAGGAUCUGAAAUGCCAUCUGUUCCAACCGCACGACAUCCCCAUUCAGCAGGCUCACAAGGCUGGCAUAGACAGGAAGAGGGAAAUGAACAAGUUGAUCUGGUCUUGAGGGAGGAGGAGGCACAGGAACACAGUAAAGGAACCUAUCUGAGGAGCUGCAGACAUGAACCAACAAAGGUAUCACCCAGAAGAGCCUGAAGCAAUACUGCAAGUGGGUGCUUUGGUACUGCUUUGAAGCAUCUUUCCAGACUCUGCAGUAGCCAAGGCCUGUGACUCCAGUCCCUGAGAAAGUACCAUCAGGAGCAAUACGUAAGCUUUUCAGGGACAAAGAACCUUGUCCUCUUAAUCUGGAUUCACAAUUCACAAUUAUACCCCUAGCCUGCCCAACGCCUUUUUCUCAGUCUCUGAGAAGUAUUGACUCUCUUUUACCUAAGAGCAGGAGUCUG
rnacentral:lncRNA from 10 species